rnacentral:tRNA from 1 species
GUGCCCGUAGCUCAACUGGAUAGAGCGUCAGCUUGCGGAGCUGAAGGUCGCAGGUUCAAGUCCUACCGGGCACA